rnacentral:tRNA from 1 species
AUUUAUAUAAUAUAAUAUAUUAUAAUUGACUUCCAAUCAAUAAAUCUAAUAACCAUUAGUAUAAAUA